CCUACGGGUGGCUGCAGUGGGGAAUAUUGGACAAUGGGGGCAACCCUGAUCCAGCCAUGCCGCGUGUGUGAAGAAGGCCCUCGGGUUGUAAAGCACUUUCAGUGAGGAAGAACGCCUGGUGGUUAAUACCCAUCAGGAAAGACAUCACUCACAGAAGAAGCACCGGCUAACUCCGUGCCAGCAGCCGCGGUAAUACGGAGGGUGCGAGCGUUAAUCGGAAUUACUGGGCGUAAAGCGCGCGUAGGUGGCUUGAUAAGCCGGUUGUGAAAGCCCCGGGCUCAACCUGGGAACGGCAUCCGGAACUGUCAAGCUAGAGUGCAGGAGAGGAAGGUAGAAUUCCCGGUGGAGCGGUGAAAUGCGUAGAGAUCGGGAGGAAUACCAGUGGCGAAGGCGGCCUUCUGGACUGACACUGACACUGAGGUGCGAAAGCGUGGGUAGCAAACAGGAUUAGAUACCCUUGUAGUC
rnacentral:rRNA from 1 species